UACGGGGGGGGUAAGCGUUGUUCGGAAUUACUGGGCGUAAAGGGCUCGUAGGCGGCCAACUAAGUCAGACGUGAAAUCCCUCGGCUUAACCGGGGAACUGCGUCUGAUACUGGAUGGCUUGGAUUUGGGAGAGGGAUGCGGAAUUCCAGGUGUAGCGGUGAAAUGCGUAGAUAUCUGGAGGAACACCGGUGGCGAAGGCGGCAUCCUGGACCGGCAUCGACGCUGAGGCGCGAAAGCGUGGGGAGCAAACAGG
rnacentral:rRNA from 1 species